GAGAAGGGCGUUUGGUGGAUGCCUUGGCAGCAAGAGGCGAUGAAGGACGUGAUACUCUGCGAUAAGCUUGGGGGAGCCGAGAAUAGGCCUUGAUCCCAGGAUCUCCGAAUGGGGCAACCCACCUGAUACUCUGUUAUAAUUGCCUCAGGGCAGCUUAUAACCGGGUAAACCAGGUACUUCUUACCUGAAUACAUAGGGUUUGAAGAGCAAACCCGGGGAACUGAAACAUCUAA
rnacentral:rRNA from 14 species